CCUACGGGGGGCUGCAGUGGGGAAUAUUGCACAAUGGGCGCAAGCCUGAUGCAGCCAUGCCGCGUGUGUGAAGAAGGCCUUCGGGUUGUAAAGCACUUUCAGCGGGGAGGAAGGCGGUGAGGUUAAUAACCUCAUCGAUUGACGUUACCCGCAGAAGAAGCACCGGCUAACUCCGUGCCAGCAGCCGCGGUAAUACGGAGGGUGCAAGCGCUAAUCGGAAUUACUGGGCGUAAAGCGCACGCAGGCGGUCUGUCAAGUCGGAUGUGAAAUCCCCGGGCUCAACCUGGGAACUGCAUUCGAAACUGGCAGGCUAGAGUCUUGUAGAGGGGGGUAGAAUUCCAGGUGUAGCGGUGAAAUGCGUAGAGAUCUGGAGGAAUACCGGUGGCGAAGGCGGCCCCCUGGACAAAGACUGACGCUCAGGUGCGAAAGCGUGGGGAGCAAACAGGAUUAGAUACCCUGGUAGGC
rnacentral:rRNA from 1 species